UACGAAGGGGGCUAGCGUUGCUCGGAAUCACUGGGCGUAAAGGGUGCGUAGGCGGGUUUUUACGUCAGGGGUGAAAUCCUGGAGCUCAACUCCAGAACUGCCUUUGAUACUGAAGAUCUUGAGUCCGGGAGAGGUGAGUGGAACUGCGAGUGUAGAGGUGAAAUUCGUAGAUAUUCGCAAGAACACCAGUGGCGAAGGCGGCUCACUGGCCCGGUACUGACGCUGAGGCACGAAAGCGUGGGGAGCAAACAGG
rnacentral:rRNA from 1 species